rnacentral:rRNA from 1 species
GUGCCAGCCGCCGCGGUAAUACGUAGGUGGCAAGCGUUAUCCGGAAUUAUUGGGCGUAAGGCGCGCGUAGGCGGUUUUUUAAGUCUGAUGUGAAAGCCCACGGCUCAACCGUGGAGGGUCAUUGGAAACUGGAAAACUUGAGUGCAGAAGAGGAAAGUGGAAUUCCAUGUGUAGCGGUGAAAUGCGCAGAGAUAUGGAGGAACACCAGUGGCGAAGGCGACUUUCUGGUCUGUAACUGACGCUGAUGUGCGAAGCGUGGGGAUCAACAGGAUUAGAUACC